rnacentral:rRNA from 1 species
GACGAACGCUGGCGGCGUGCUUAACACAUGCAAGUCGAACGGAAAGGCCCUGCUUUUGUGGGGUGCUCGAGUGGCGAACGGGUGAGUAACACGUGAGUAACCUGCCCUUGACUUUGGGAUAACUUCAGGAAACUGGGGCUAAUACCGGAUAGGAGCUCCUGCUGCAUGGUGGGGGUUGGAAAGUUUCGGCGGUUGGGGAUGGACUCGCGGCUUAUCAGCUUGUUGGUGGGGUAGUGGCUUACCAAGGCUUUGACGGGUAGCCGGCCUGAGAGGGUGACCGGCCACAUUGGGACUGAGAUACGGCCCAGACUCCUACGGGAGGCAGCAGUGGGGAAUAUUGCACAAUGGGCGGAAGCCUGAUGCAGCAACGCCGCGUGCGGGAUGACGGCCUUCGGGUUGUAAACCGCUUUCGCCUGUGACGAAGCGUGAGUGACGGUAAUGGGUAAAGAAGCACCGGCUAACUACGUGCCAGCAGCCGCGGUGAUACGUAGGGUGCGAGCGUUGUCCGGAUUUAUUGGGCGUAAAGGGCUCGUAGGUGGUUGAUCGCGUCGGAAGUGUAAUCUUGGGGCUUAACCCUGAGCGUGCCUUCGAUACGGGUUGACUUGAGGAAGGUAGGGGAGAAUGGAAUUCCUGGUGGAGCGGUGGAAUGCGCAGAUAUCAGGAGGAACACCAGUGGCGAAGGCGGUUCUCUGGGCCUUUCCUGACGCUGAGGAGCGAAAGCGUGGGGAGCGAACAGGCUUAGAUACCCUGGUAGUCCACGCUGUAAACGGUGGGUACUAGGUGUGGGGUCCAUUCCACGGGUUCCGUGCCGUAGCUAACGCUUUAAGUACCCCGCCUGGGGAGUACGGCCGCAAGGCUAAAACUCAAAGGAAUUGACGGGGCCCCGCACAAGCGGCGGAGCAUGCGGAUUAAUUCGAUGCAACGCGUAGAACCUUACCUGGGUUUGACAUGGAUCGGGAGUGCUCAGAGAUGGGUGUGCCUCUUUUGGGGUCGGUUCACAGGUGGUGCAUGGCUGUCGUCAGCUCGUGUCGUGAGAUGUUGGGUUAAGUCCCGCAACGAGCGCAACCCUUGUUCACUGUUGCCAGCACGUUAUGGUGGGGACUCAGUGGAGACCGCCGGGGUCAACUCGGAGGAAGGUGGGGAUGACGUCAAGUCAUCAUGCCCCUUAUGUCCAGGGCUUCACGCAUGCUACAAUGGCUGGUACAGAGAGUGGCGAGCCUGUGAGGGUGAGCGAAUCUCGGAAAGCCGGUCUCAGUUCGGAUUGGGGUCUGCAACUCGACCUCAUGAAGUCGGAGUCGCUAGUAAUCGCAGAUCAGCAACGCUGCGGUGAAUACGUUCCCGGG